CCUACACACGUGAUAUAACAAAAUGUCAAAAUCGUACAGUAUCCAACUUAAUAAAAGACCUAAAUAAAUUUUUAUUGGUGUACUCCUAUACUAUUUUUAAUUUUCUUGACCAAAAUAACCUUGUGCUAUGGUCAAUGGACCAGGACUUAGCAAAGGGUAUUAUAGUCUUUGGGAGUUAGUUUUGACUUUGGACCGAUCCGUUUUUACCAGGAGAUAUCGGAUAAGGAUUAUUUUCAGUUUUCCAACUCAGAUCGCAUAUUUCGAUGAGAUCCGAGGAGACUAGUUCAAGUGGUUAAUUGAUAUUCCUAAUUUUUAAGAAUGUUUCAUACUUUCGUGCAUGAACACUAGGUGAGUAAAUAAUCAAGGAAGAGGAAAGGUAAUGGUACCGAGGAGGGCUACAAGGCCGGGAGUGUCGAUACCGAUGGACUUGAACUUCUCAAGAACGACGGAGAUACUCUCGUUGUGGUCGGGAAGGUAAGACUCAAGCAUAUCAGUCCUGCUCUUACGUCCAUCUCUCCUUCCUGU